rnacentral:rRNA from 1 species
UACAGAGGGGGCAAGCGUUGUUCGGAAUUACUGGGCGUAAAGGGCGCGUAGGCGGUCCUGUCAGUCCCUUGUGAAAUCCCCCGGCUCAACUGGGGAACUGCAAGGGAUACAGCAGGGCUUGAGUUCGGGAGAGGGAAGCGGAAUUCCGGGUGUAGCGGUGAAAUGCGUAGAUAUCCGGAGGAACACCGGUGGCGAAGGCGGCUUCCUGGACCGAUACUGACGCUGAGGCGCGAAAGCUAGGGGAGCAAACGGG